UCCGAUAUGGUCUAGUGGCUAGGAUUUGCCGCUCUCAUCGAGAGUAAACACCUCACCAGUGCCGGCAAGGCCCGGGUUCGAUUCCCGGUGUCGGAA
rnacentral:tRNA from 1 species